UACGUAGGGUGCGAGCGUUAAUCGGAAUUACUGGGCGUAAAGCGUGCGCAGGCGGUUCGUUAAGUCAGCUGUGAAAGCCCCGGGCUUAACCUGGGAAUGGCGGUUGAAACUGGCGGGCUUGAGUGUGGCAGAGGGGGGUGGAAUUCCGCGUGUAGCAGUGAAAUGCGUAGAGAUGCGGAGGAACACCGAUGGCGAAGGCAGCCCCCUGGGCCAACACUGACGCUCAGGCACGAAAGCGUGGGGAGCAAACAGG
rnacentral:rRNA from 1 species